CCCCGCCCCGGCCCCGCCCCCAGCCGUUCCCGCCCCGCCCCCGGCCCGCGUCGCCGUCUCUCGCCCUCCCCCGGCCGCGCGGCCGGAGCUGGCACUGAGCACCGGCGGCCGCGGCGGCCUCGCGUUUUGGCACGCCAGCGCCCCGCUGGACACGGCGUCCCCGAGAGCGCCCGGCGCGCGCGGAUCUGCCUUCCGCGGCCCCGGGCUGCCCGGGGGCGUCCGGCGCUCCCCGAGGGCGGGCGUGUCCGCGCGGCGCCGGGCGGGGCACGGGCGCGGGGCCUCAGCCUGUUGGAGCGCCGGGGGCGCCGGACCCGGGGGCUUCGGGAGCCCUGCGGGGGCCGGGCCGCCCGAGUCCCACGCAGAGCAGUGUUUUCCAACUCUCCGCCUGCGUCUCAUCGGGCCCACCACCACCCGGAGAGACCCCGUCCAGAUCUGCCGAGAUCACAACCCAGGAGCAGUUCCAGAGCCUCCAGUUGGAACCUCAGCCUUCCAGCACGGAGCCCGGGACAGCAUGCGCCUCUGCCCAGGGAACGGGUGCCACACACCUACGAUCACAGCGUUCAUCUCACUGAGGACAUGAAUUCCUCUUCUAUGACUGGUUUUCCCUGGAUACUGCCGUCCAGACCCUGGCUGAGGUCCACUGUAUGCAAAUCAGAAGACACUGUUUUGCUGAGCCUUGCACGUGUCAGGUCUGCUGCCCCUACUUCUCCAACUGUAGGUGUGAUGGAUAGGUUACGCUAAUCUGUGGACCCUGAAAAGACAUGCUGACCCUAUCAGAAGCCCUCUUCUGUGAUGUUGAUGUCUCUGUGACCACAGCUGAGACUUAGAGUCAGAACCCCUAUACUCACACCCUACCAUGUGGUGCAGAGCGUAUACCUCUGACCUUCGAUUACUGUAUCCUCCCACCCUAACCAGCGACCCCAGAGGUAACAACUAUCCUGAGUUUUGUGUUUACCAUUCCUGUGCUCUUCUUUAUAGCUCCACCACAUAUGUCUCUAUAUUUAUCAACACAUUGUGCAUUUUUGCAUGUUUUUAUACAUUAUGUAAACCUAACAUACUGCAUAUAUUCUUACACAGCUUGCUUUUCUUCACUCAAAAUUUUGUCUAAUGCAUGUUGAUGUUUGCAGGUGGAGAGCACUUAUUUCCAACACAGUGAGUUCCAAUAUAGACUACUGUCCAAACAGCAUACUUUAUGAAGCUUUCAUCUUGUUGGAUUUGGGGAAUAUUUUUAAUUUCUGUAAUUUUAAACAUUAUACAUAAAACUUUAUAUAUGCUAUAUAAUGCAUAUAUGUUAAUGCAAGAAUUUUGUCAUUGUGUGUGUUUUUUUUUUGUACUCAGAAACCUUCCCACCCAGCCCCACUCCAGCCUAGUGUAUAUAUUGAGGGCUCAACGCACAUCCUCAAGUAUUCUUGAUACCAAAUUAUUAUUUUCACAGAUUGUUUGUACCAGUUGACACUCUAGCAAUUGUUGAAAAGCUUGUGUUGCUCCAAAGCUUCUCCUGUACUUGGCAUUUUCAUAGUUUUAAAUAUUUUUCUGUCUAGUGGGAUAAAAGAGUGCUAUGUCUUUUUUUUUUGGUUCUGUUAAUAACAUAGAACACAUGUGCAGCAAUGCACUAGUGCACACACACACACAGCCGUCCUUAUUUUUCCCAUUUGUGUUUCUUCUUUUGUGAAAAGAAAUCAUGUUCCUGUCUUUUAUGCAUUUUUCCAUGGCAUUCAUUUUUUUCUCAUUGAUUCAUUGA
rnacentral:lncRNA from 1 species